UGGGGAAUUUUCCGCAAUGGGCGCAAGCCUGACGGAGCAACGCCGCGUGAAUGAAGAAGGCCUUCGGGUUGUAAAGUUCUGUCAUUAGGGAAGAAUGUUCUGUAUGUAAAUAAUGUACAGGAGUGACGGUACCUAAGGAGGAAGCCACGGCUAACUACGUGCCAGCAGCCGCGGUAAUACGUAGGUGGCGAGCGUUGUCCGGAAUUACUGGGCGUAAAGGGCGCGUAGGCGGAUAUUUAAGUCAGAUGUGAAAGCCCCGGGCUUAACUUGGGGAUUGCAUUUGAUACUGGGUAUCUUGAGGACAGGAGAGGAAAGCGGAAUUCCUAGUGUAGCGGUGAAAUGCGUAGAUAUUAGGAGGAACACCAGUGGCGAAGGCGGCUUUCUGGACUGUAACUGACGCUGAGGCGCGAAAGCGUGGGGAGCGAACGGG
rnacentral:rRNA from 1 species